rnacentral:rRNA from 1 species
AGUGGCGGACGGGUGAGUAACGCGUGGGUAACCUGCCUUAUACAGGGGGAUAACAGUCAGAAAUGACUGCUAAUACCGCAUAAGCCCACGGCUCGGCAUCGAGCAGAGGGAAAGGGAGCAAUCCGCUUUGAGAUGGCCUCGCGUCCGAUUAGCUAGUUGGUGAGGUAACGGCCCACCAAGGCGACGAUCGGUAGCCGGACUGAGAGGUUGAACGGCCACAUUGGGACUGAGACACGGCCCAGACUCCUACGGGAGGCAGCAGUGGGGAAUAUUGCACAAUGGGGGAAACCCUGAUGCAGCGACGCCGCGUGGAGGAAGAAGGUCUUCGGAUUGUAAACUCCUGUUGUUGAGGAAGAUAAUGACGGUACUCAACAAGGAAGUGACGGCUAACUACGUGCCAGCAGCCGCGGUAAAACGUAGGUCACAAGCGUUGUCCGGAAUUACUGGGUGUAAAGGGAGCGCAGGCGGGAAGACAAGUUGGAAGUGAAAUCCAUGGGCUCAACCCAUGAACUGCUUUCAAAACUGUUUUUCUUGAGUAGUGCAGAGGUAGGCGGAAUUCCCGGUGUAGCGGUGGAAUGCGUAGAUAUCGGGAGGAACACCAGUGGCGAAGGCGGCCUACUGGGCACCAA